rnacentral:rRNA from 1 species
CGCGACGUAGUUGAUCAGUGGCUCAGGAUGAACGCUAGCGGCAGGCUUAACACAUGCAAGUCGAGGGGCAGCGGGAAUUGUGCUUGCACAAUUGCCGGCGACCGGCGCACGGGUGCGUAACGCGUAUGCAACCUACCCAUAACAGGGGGAUAACACUGAGAAAUUGGUACUAAUACCCCGUAACAUCAUGAAAGGCAUCUUUUGUGGUUGAAAGUUCCGGCGGUUAUGGAUGGGCAUGCGUUGUAUUAGCUAGUUGGUGAGGUAACGGCUCACCAAGGCGACGAUACAUAGGGGGACUGAGAGGUUAACCCCCCACAUUGGUACUGAGACACGGACCAGACUCCUACGGGAGGCAGCAGUGAGGAAUAUUGGUCAAUGGGCGGGAGCCUGAACCAGCCAAGUCGCGUGAGGGAAGACGGCCCUACGGGUUGUAAACCUCUUUAGUCGGGGAGCAAAAAGGAUCACGCGUGGUCCAUUGAGCGUACCCGAAGAAUAAGCAUCGGCUAACUCCGUG